AGAGAAUUUAAAUUCCAUUCAGGAAGAACUAUUAAUGUUACAGGGACAGAUAGACCACAAGGACAACAUGAUAUUUCUGAAGGAAGAAGCUGGUCGUAAGAGCAGGUUUCGUGAUGAAGCCAAACCAAUGUUGGUGGUAGAUGGUUCGUGGCCGAUUGAAAAGUUUGAUCACUCCUUUUUCAACAUGGCAUUGAGAGAAGCAUCUUAUAUCAUCAAGAUAG